AUCUCAGGCACAAAGGCAAUGUCAUUAUAGACAGGGGAGGACAUUAUUCUUAAAUGGCAACCGAUGCAGCGCCUAGACAGGAGAUAAGGUCCCCUUUGUCCCCCAGCUAGCGUUCACCAUUGUGACAGGCCACUUAAGCAACACUUACCUGCAGCAUCAAACCACCCUGAUGCCGAAACCAUUAACAUACAUGCUGUGACGCGUGUGACACCUCAGCGACGCUCGGACAACGUGCUGCUCCCAGGGGAUGAAGAGGAGAGGAGAGAAUUUAGAUCAGGCGGAACGUCCCCAGGAUGGAGAGAUGGAGGGAACUAAAGAAGGAAAGGAGAGAGAGAGAUAGAAGGAAAGGUCAUGUGUGAUGGAUGCUUUGUGUGUCUCUGUCGUUUCCAAUUACUGAACUUUGCCUUGUUUCUCUCAAAUGCAUUUUCGUCAUUUCUCCAGUUCUCAUCUCUACCUCACGACUGGAGAGAACCCAGGGUUCAACCCUGGCUUAGUGUGGCAGAACACACUGCAUUUAUUCAGGCUAAACAGUUGAAUUUGUCAGUUUAUUCAGAUGAAGCAUUAGACAGACAUUAUUUAACUAAUACUAACCUUCCUGACUAAAGCAGCCAUAUACGGCCACAUUUAUAAAAUAUUCCACCUAUUAUCCGACAAGUACAUAACAUAUAAGCUCAUUUCUUUCAUUGUAAUCUGUGAUUUUGUGAUCUACGAUUUAAAGUGGUUUGCGUAUGGUACAUCUGUCAAUAAAUGUGUCCCAAUACCGUUCCAUAUUACAUACAAAAUGCCAUCUGGAGAGUGUACAGCACUUUAUAUGAGGCCAAAUGGGAGAUUCCUAGCCUAUUCCUCAACUAGAGAAUCUACAGUAUGACAUUAUUCAACAUGAGGGAAUAGGUGAUGCACUUCUGAUCUUCUGGGUCGUUGGGAAUUUAACAGCCUCUUUCCCAAACUUUAGACAUUGUCACCCAGACCCUUCAUAAAACAUAUCACACUGACAAUACCCAGACCCCUGCAGCAGAGGAAAGGAGAGAGGGAGGGAGAGGGGAAGUAGAGAGAGAGAGAGAGAGAGAGAAAGAAAAGAAAGUCAGACGGACACAAAAAAAUACACUGCAAAUGUAUUCCUUUCUUUUUUUCCCAUCCAUAGCUAUAUUAAAAUCCUUUAUUCGUUAAUAUAUCUAUUUGCUGCUUGUGAAACCGAUAAAGCGCAGGUGGUUUGCGAAGCCAGGCCGUGUAUGGUUUAUAGGGACAGAGGAGCUGAUAUAUGGCGGAUGGGGACUCCAUUAAAAGCGAGACCUGGGCCAUUUGGGAAAAUGGAGGUCAUUGGUGCUGAGGUCAGGUGCCAUCUAUAAAAAUCUAACUUUUCCUUAAUAUCUGCUCGUAUAUCACCUCCCCCGCUGCACGUGAAUCUUAAACAACAGGGUGGUUUAUAAGGCAGAGUGUGUUGUGUCGUGAGAGGCAGUCAGCUGCAUGGUGC